rnacentral:rRNA from 1 species
CGUAGGGUGCGAGCGUUGUCCGGAAUUAUUGGGCGUAAAGAGCUUGUAGGCGGUUAGUCGCGUCGGAAGUGAAAACUCGGGCCUUAAUCCCGAGCUUGCUUCCGAUACGGGCUGACUAGAGGAAGGUAGGGGAGAAUGGAAUUCCUGGUGGAGCGGUGAAAUGCGUAGAUAUUAGGAGGAACACCAGUAGCGAAGGCGGCUCUCUGGACUGUAACUGACACUGAGGCACGAAAGCGUGGGGAGCAAACAGGAUUAGAUACCCUGGUAGUCCCU